rnacentral:tRNA from 1 species
ACCUGGUUGGCUCAGUCAGUAAAGCAUGUGACUCCUGAUCUCAGGGUCAUGAGUUCAAGCCUCACAUUGGAUG